UGCAGAGAGAAAGAAAAAAGUUUUAGGC
rnacentral:piRNA from 1 species